rnacentral:rRNA from 1 species
GAAUGUACCCUUCUCUAUGGAAUAGCCUCGGGAAACUGAGAGUAAUACCGUAUACGCCCUUCGGGGGAAAGAUUUAUCGGAGAAGGAUCAGCCCGCGUAAGAUUAGAUAGUUGGUGGGGUAAUGGCCUACCAAGUCUACGAUCUUUAGCUGGUUUUAGAGGAUGAUCAGCAACACUGGGACUGAGACACGGCCCAGACUCCUACGGGAGGCAGCAGUGGGGAAUCUUGGACAAUGGGCGCAAGCCUGAUCCAGCCAUGCCGCGUGUGUGAUGAAGGCCUUAGGGUCGUAAAGCACUUUCGCUAGAGAUGAUAAUGACAGUAUCUAGUAAAGAAGUCCCGGCUAACUCCGUGCCAGCAGCCGCGGUAAUACGGAGGGGACUAGCGUUGUUCGGAAUUACUGGGCGUAAAGCGUACGUAGGCGGAUCAGAAAGUAUGGGGUGAAAUCCCAGGGCUCAACCCUGGAACUGCCUCAUAAACUCCUGGUCUAGAGUUCGAGAGAGGUGAGUGGAAUUCCGAGUGUAGAGGUGAAAUUCGUAGAUAUUCGGAGGAACACCAGUGGCGAAGGCGGCUCACUGGCUCGAUACUGACGCUGAGGUACGAAAGUGUGGGGAGCAAACAGGAUUAGAUACCCUGGUAGUCCACACCGUAAACGAUGAAUG